UCUCUAUGACGAUUAAUUCACGAUGACGAGUCUGAUUAUCCAUUCUUAUAAUAAAAUCAUGACGACAAAUCGAGGCAUUUGUCUGAGAGAAACAAAUAUUUUAUUUUAAUUAUUUUUUGAUUUUGCGUUUUUUAUUUUGUAAUUUGAGGAAAUGAUGGAUCUGAAAUGGUGUAAUGAUGAUGAAAGUUGACAAUGUCUUCUGAAGCAUGAAUAAUGCUGAGUGAUUGAACAAAUAUCCUCCUACUCAUUCUGA
rnacentral:lncRNA from 1 species